UUUCUUUAUUGCUGAACACAAUCAUGCAUUGGUUGAUAAGCCAUCACUAACUAAGUACCUUCGAUCACACCAAGGGAUCCCUCCAGAAGAGAAACUGUUCCUGAAAAAUCUUCAUAAUUGUAAUUUGACCACAGGUCGUAUGAUGAACAUCAUGUCUGAAUUUUAUGGUUCAGAGCUAAUUGUGCCUUACACAACUAAAGCGAUAUCAAAUCUGAAAUCAGGCUUGAAUAAGUUUGACACAAAGGAGGGAGAUAUGAUUGAGACAGUUGCCUACUUCAAGGAUCAACAA
rnacentral:rRNA from 1 species